rnacentral:misc_RNA from 1 species
UUUCCGUAGGUGAACCUGCGGAGGGAUCAUUACUGAGUGAGGGCUCACGCCCGACCUCCAACCCUUUGUGAACCAAACUUGUUGCUUCGGGGGCGACCCUGCCGACGACUUCGUCGCCGGGCGCCCCCGGAGGAUAUCAAAACGCUGCAUCUUUGCGUCGGAGUAUCAAUCAAAUUGAACAAAACUUUCAACAACGGAUCUCUUGGUUCUGGCAUCGAUGAAGAACGCAGC